AAUUUAAAAGACAGUAGUUAAACUCUACUAUUAAGGG
rnacentral:tRNA from 2 species